rnacentral:rRNA from 1 species
ACAUUAGAUACCCCCUGUAGUCCAGGGUGUAAACGCUGCAGACUUGGUGUUGGAAGCCCUUUGGGGGCAUUCAGUGCCGGAGAGAAGUUGUUAAGUCUGCUACUUGGGGAGUACGUCCGCAAGGAUGAAACUUAAAGGAAUUGGCGGGGGAGCACCGCAACGGGAGGAGCGUGCGGUUUAAUUGGAUUCAACACCGUAAAACUCACCAGGGAAGACUGUUACAUGAAGGCCGAGAUGAAGACUCUGCUAGAUUUUCAG